AGACAUUUAAAGUCCUUCAUAUCUUUGCAUCAAUUAUAGAAAUUUAAAAUGAAUAUGAAUUUACUUGCCUGUGUUAGCAAUGUAAAUUCUCUGUGUCCUAGUGAGAGUUCAGUUGUUGUCAUCUCUCAAGACUGGAGUUUCCAGAAGUGGUAAAACACAAAGAAAAGAAGAUAGUCUGAAAGAAGUCAGGAAGCCACUGUGGUGGCUUUUGGGUAUUCUAGAACUUUCUAGAGAUGGAGUUCUGCUUUAUGAGGAAGGCGGGACUUAUCUCUCUGGCUUCUCCAAGAAUCAUCAGGCAGGGUGAAAAUGGUCCAGGCCAGGAAUAUUUGCUGAAUUAGAGCAGCCAGUAGUAGCAGAACCAGUGAUCUCUCUAGGUUUUUGUCUACCAAAUGUGACAUGAAAUUCUACCCUGUUGCUGAAAGACUUGUUCUGCUUGGGCCACUGUCUGCUUCCUCAGUUCUGGACAAUGAGGAAAUCUCUGAUCAAAGCAUCGGUGUUGGUCAAGGGUGGUCAUCCUGCAACACUACACGUCAGGAGGUGGAAGAACAAGACUUUCUCCGUUUGUCCCUUGGUCUUUACAACAAGCUGGCAUUUUCGAGGGGCAUUAAGAAAUGAAAUUAAUGAUCAGACUGGCAUUUUGUUGUGACUAAAUAUUAACUUUCUAGUUUUAAAGGAGAGUUAAUUAUGUUAUUCCUUCAUUUGUUGAACAGAAUUUUACAUUUGAUCCAGGAGCACAAAGUAAUGAUAAAGGUACAAGCCAAUUUCCAUGCCAACUUGUAUAAUACUGGAACAUCUUGGGGAAGAACUAGUUGAAGAUGUUUUCUCUGAAAGAUGGCUCACCUAAAGUAAGGCAGCAGCCAGUCCAGGAAACACCAGUGUAGUGCAGUGCAGAUGGGGCUGGAGCCUGACUUCUGGAGCUGGCUAGUGAGAUGCUUCCAGACUUGCCAUACCCUGGGAUCAGCAAUUACGACUUAGCAGAUAGGGGCUGCAUGGUCCAAUCUCAUGAAGGCUGUCCUGGACUGGGGGAAAUGACCUCAGCUUAUCCCUGGUAGCUGUAUAUUUGUGAUUUGAACAAACAAAAAUAUCCCAAUCCUUUUAAACUAUAUACUUCAAGGCCAAUUAUACUAUUGCUUUGAAAACAUGUCAUUAAUCCUUUUUUUAUUUUAAGAAAUAAAAGAAGGAAAACAUAUUAACAAACAGACAUCCAUUUACAAAAUAGCAUAAGAACAUUACAAACAAAACAGUUACAGACAAAGUUGUAGGAAAUUAACAAUGGUUGUUGUAUUACUUAUUGAUAUCUACAAAGUGGUUGCUCAAGGAAACAGAGACAUACAAGAUUGAUCAAACAAGUAAUCAUUAACUGUUCCUUUCUAGAGAGCAACAGAAGACAGUAGUACAACUAUGUUAGUUAUCCUGUAUAUGCAUACUUAAUUUCCCCUUCUUGCCCUUCUCUAUUCCCACAACUCAGUUGCCCUUUACUUUUGAGCAUUUUCCUUUUGUUUCACAAUGUCUAUCAUACCUCCAAGCUUUU
rnacentral:lncRNA from 1 species